rnacentral:rRNA from 1 species
AACGAACGCUGGCGGCAGGCUUAACACAUGCAAGUCGAACGCCCCGCAAGGGGAGUGGCAGACGGGUGAGUAACGCGUGGGAAUCUACCCAAUACUACGGAAUAGCUCCGGGAAACUGGAAUUAAUACCGUAUGUGCCCUACGGGGGAAAGAUUUAUCGGUAUUGGAUGAGCCCGCGUUGGAUUAGCUAGUUGGUGGGGUAAAAGCCUACCAAGGCGACGAUCCAUAGCUGGUCUGAGAGGAUGAUCAGCCACACUGGGACUGAGACACGGCCCAGACUCCUACGGGAGGCAGCAGUGGGGAAUAUUGGACAAUGGGCGAAAGCCUGAUCCAGCCAUGCCGCGUGAGUGAUGAAGGCCUUAGGGUUGUAAAGCUCUUUUUAGUGGGGACGAUAAUGACGGUACCCACAGAAAAAGCCCCGGCUAACUUCGUG